rnacentral:lncRNA from 1 species
AUGCCUCCUCCCUCUGCUUCUCCCCACAUCUCUUCAGCGGUAUCUUCUCCUCCAGCUUCCAGCCAGGAAGUUACGAGCAAUGAGGGGCAGGGAGUCCAUUUCCAUUUCACUCGAGUCUGUACUCUACCGUCCCCAGAGGAGCUUCUCCUGGAUACAGUAGAACUGGCUUCUCUCCUCUCCUGGGGAUUUCUAAGAACCCAUGAGCGAGACCGGGGCAAUCUUAAAGCUUUAUCCAAAUGCCCUCAACAGAGGAUGAUGAAUUAUACCACGAUGCACCCACCCAUGGAAUACUCUGCAGCUGCUUCCAAUAAAAAGAAUGGGCUCCUUCUCUGUGGGACACAUGAUUUCCAAAGAGCGCGGUCCAGAGCAGUGUGUAUGGUGGGCUACCAUUUGUCUGAUGUGUGUGUGCUCAGUUGUGUCUGACUCUUUGCAAUCCCAUGGACUGUAGCCUGCUAGACUUCUCUGUCCCUGGGAUUUUCCAGGCAAGAAUAUUGGAGUGGGUUGCUACUUCCUUCUCCAGGAGAUCUUCCCAACCCAGGGGUCAAACCUGGGUCUCCUGCAUUGCAGGCAGAGUCUUUACCCCUAGCGCCACCUGGGAAUACCAUUUGUAUUUGAUAGAUUAUAUAAGUAGCUGGAGAAUACUUCUGGAUGACUGAAUAAGAAACUGGUCAUGACCAUUGCCUUUGGGGGAGGGAAUGCAAUAGGAACAAGGAACACCUGUAGGCCAGAGACUACGUUUUCUUUGUACAUCUUUUGGUAACAUUUAAACUUUAAACCACAUUCAUGGGUUAGCUAUUUGGGGAUCAUUUUGAAAAGAAACAGCAUUAUGUUAAUUUAGCAAGUGUUUCUCAUUCCCUUAACAAUGACACUAGCUAACCUGAUUCCCCUUUACCUCUUUCCCUAAAAGUACAUUCUUGGGUUUGUGUUCUUCCUGCAUAUCCCAACCCCAGCAGAAAAUCAUCCCUGUAGUUCAUUAGCGCUGCUCGUUAGGGGUUGAUUCCCUUGGGCCUUGGGAAGCACCCCUAAUCCAGCCAACCAACCAUCUCAUGGAUGUGCGGCCAGAUUGGGGGUGAUUCUGAGAAUGAAGCUCCAGAGAAUGGUCCUCAUCCGCCAUGCCUUCCUGAUAGAGGUGGGCACAUCAGAGCCAGAGUAUCCAAGAGAGGGAAGAACUGGUCAAAGGAAAAUCACCAGACCCCUUGUUUAGGGUGAGAAUGAUGGCAAAGGUUGAGAAAAGGGGGAGCUGGAAUGUGGAGGAUGCCCUGAGGCCAAACAUCAGGGGAGGGAGCCACACACUGGAGUCUGUUACAGAGUGCCUGAAUGUCAUUCCAAAUGUUCUGCUUCCUUCAGUCAGUUCAGUUCAGUUGCUCAGUCGUGUCCUACUCUUUUCGACCCCAUGAACCGCAGCAAGCCAGGCCUCCCUGUCCAUCACUGGCGCCCGGAGUUCACCCAAACUCAUGUCCAUUGAGUCAGUGAUGCCAUCCAACCAUCUCUAAGCCCCUGCACAUGAUGAUGAGGGACUCUUCAGCUGCAGGUCUGUGAAAUCGCUAGGCUGCUGGAGGUGUCUGCUGGGACUGGGUGCUGAAGUGUGUUGAGUAGCAUUUCCCCCAGUUCAUGCCCACCUGGAGCCUAUUUGAAACUAGAGUCUGUGCAGAUGUGAUUAUCUAAGGCUGUAAGCUGAAGUCAUCCUGGAUUUGGGGUGUGCCCUCGAUCCAAAUGAUAGGUGUCCUUACAGGAUAGAGGGACACAGAGAUCACAGAAGAUGGAGGCAGCGAUGCAGCUACAAGUGCAGGGAUCUCCGGCACUGCUGGGAGCCACCGGGGGCUGGGAAAAGGCAGGAGAAAUUCUCCCCUAGAGCUUUCAGGGGGAGCAUGGUGGGUCAACACCGAAACCGGGCCUUCUGGGAGAAUAAAUUUUUGUUGUUUUAAGCCCCUGAGUUUGUG